UACAGAGGUCUCAAGCGUUGUUCGGAUUCAUUGGGCGUAAAGGGCGCGUAGGCGGCGGGGUAAGUCGGGUGUGAAAUCUCAGGGCUCAACCCUGAAACUGCACUCGAUACUGCUCUGCUUGAGGACUGGAGAGGAGACUGGAAUUCACGGUGUAGCAGUGAAAUGCGUAGAUAUCGUGAGGAAGACCAGUGGCGAAGGCGGGUCUCUGGACAGUUCCUGGACGCUGAGGC
rnacentral:rRNA from 1 species